CACGUAGGUGGCGAGCGUUGUCCGGAAUUACUGGGCGUAAAGGGCGAGUAGGCGGCCUUUAAAGUCAGAUGUGAAAGUCUAGGGCUUAACCCUAGGAUUGCAUUUGAAACUUAAGGGCUUGAGUGUAGGAGAGGGAAGCGGAAUUCCUAAUGUAGCGGUGAAAUGCGUAGAUAUUAGGAGGAACACCAGUGGCGAAGGCGACUUUCUGGUCUGUUACUGACGCUGAGGCGCGAAAGCGUGGGGAGCAAACAGG
rnacentral:rRNA from 1 species